rnacentral:rRNA from 1 species
UACGGGGGGCAGCAGUCGAGAAUUUUUCACAAUGGGCGAAAGCCUGAUGGAGCGACGCCGCGUGGAGGAGGAAGGCCUUCGGGUUGUAAACUCCUGUCACCGCAGAACAAGGUUUUCCUGCCGAAUAAGCAGGAGAACUCGAUAGUAUGCGGAGAGGAAGGGACGGCUAACUCUGUGCCAGCAGCCGCGGUAA